rnacentral:rRNA from 1 species
CCUACGGGAGGCAGCAGUGGGGAAUAUUGCACAAUGGGGGAAACCCUGAUGCAGCAACGCCGCGUGAGUGAAGAAGUAUUUCGGUAUGUAAAGCUCUAUCAGCAGGGAAGAAGAUGACGGUACCUGAUUAAGAAGCCCCGGCUAACUACGUGCCAGCAGCCGCGGUAAUACGUAGGGGGCAAGCGUUAUCCGGAUUUACUGGGUGUAAAGGGAGCGCAGACGGCAGUGCAAGUCUGGAGUGAAAGCCCGGGGCCCAACCCCGGAACUGCUCUGGAAACUGGCAGUCUUGAGUACAGUAGAGGUGGGCGGAAUUCGUGGUGUAGCGGUGAAAUGCAUAGAUAUCACGCAGAACUCCGAUUGCGAAGGCAGCAGACCGGCGCUCAACUGACGCUCAUGCACGAAAGUGUGGGUAUCGAACAGGAUUAGAUACCCCGGUAGUC